rnacentral:rRNA from 1 species
GACGAACGCUGGCGGCGUGCCUAAUACAUGCAAGUAGAGCGCUGAAGAGAGGAGCUUGCUCUUCUUGGAUGAGUUGCGAACGGGUGAGUAACGCGUAGGUAACCUGCCUUGUAGCGGGGGAUAACUAUUGGAAACGAUAGCUAAUACCGCAUAACAAUGGAUGACACAUGUCAUUUAUUUGAAAGGGGCAAUUGCUCCACUACAAGAUGGACCUGCGUUGUAUUAGCUAGUAGGUGAGGUAACGGCUCACCUAGGCGACGAUACAUAGCCGACCGGAGAGGGUGAUCGGCCACACUGGGACUGGAACACGGCCCAGACUCCUACGGGAGGCAGCAGUAGGGAAUCUUCGGCAAUGGGGGCAACCCUGACCGAGCAACGCCGCGUGAGUGAAGAAGGUUUUCGGAUCGUAAAGCUCUGUUGUAAGUCAAGAACGAGUGUGAGAGUGGAAAGUUCACACUGUGACGGUAGCUUACCAGAAAGGGACGGCUAACUACGUGCCAGCAGCCGCGGUAA